rnacentral:rRNA from 1 species
GACGGAGGAUGCAAGUGUUAUCCGGAAUCACUGGGCGUAAAGCGUCUGUAGGUGGUUUGAUAAGUCAACUGUUAAAUCUUGAGGCUCAACUUCAAAAUCGCAGUCGAAACUAUUAGACUAGAGUAUAGUAGAGGUAAAGGGAAUUUCCAGUGGAGCGGUGAAAUGCGUAGAUAUUGGAAAGAACACCGAUGGCGAAAGCACUUUACUGGGCUAUUACUAACACUCAGAGACGAAAGCUAGGGUAGCAAAUGGGAUUAGAUACCCCAGUAGUCCUAGCUGUAAACUAUGGAUACUAGAUGUUGAACAGAUCGACCUGUGCAGUAUCAAAGCUAACGCGUUAAGUAUCCCGC